ACUCCUACGGGAGGCAGCAGUGGGGAAUAUUGGACAAUGGGCGAAAGCCUGAUCCAGCCAUGCCGCGUGUGUGAAGAAGGUCUUCGGAUUGUAAAGCACUUUAAGUUGGGAGGAAGGGCAGUAAGUUAAUACCUUGCUGUUUUGACGUUACCGACAGAAUAAGCACCGGCUAACUCUGUGCCAGCAGCCGCGGUAAU
rnacentral:rRNA from 2 species